AUUCAGAUCUAGAGUCCGCAUGUCUAACUGUCAGGGCCUCCGGCCGGCGCUAAAGAGGCAACGACUCCCAGGUGCCGCGGGGACGCGGCCAACCGGGCACAGCUGCGCCUCGUCGGCAGUCCGGGGCGGGGCCCAACGCCUCUUAAGCUCAGCCAGAGGCCGCUGGAAGCCACGAAAGCUACCGGGAACCAGAGCGGGCUCUGCUCUUUCGUCCGGUCCUAGCGCCGCUGAUGCUGCUUUUAAAGCUGAACGAGGGCUGCAGCGGAACCUCUCGUUAUUCUGAACCGGUGAGAUGGUGGAAGCGGAUGUGAUCUCAUUCAACCCAUGGAGAUACGGUGGGACAGAUUGCACGACUGGAAUGCUGUUGUGGAUGGCUGAGUCCCUUUACAGAAGAGACAGACAGGUGAGGUGGUGGAGUUGCUCUUCCAGAGAGAGAACUGGAACGUGUUGAGCUCUGCUCCCCUAGUUCUGCAUUCAUCCUUAGGCAGUGACAUGUGAGGCUCAAGAAGCAGUAAAUGUGGGUAACAUCACUGGGUGUAUUGGUUACAGAUGAGGAAGCUGAUAAGAUCUUCUGCAUGUGGCUCACAGUAAUCUCAGAGCUGUGGACAUUAGCUAUCACAGCAGACUUGAACCACCCUGCCAUUUGUUAGUAGAGCAGAGCUGUCAGGAAUACCUCAUUCCAGGAGAUUCCUGCUGGUGUCAAAUAUGAGUUUGCUGACAGAGGAGAUGGAGGAGCCAAUGAGGACAGAGGCAUUGCUGACUUUUCUUACUCAGUGUGGAGGAAGGGCCGGUUGGAGAUGUGAAGACUAGGUCAGCCUCAAGUGCAGCAGUUGUGAGCUGGUGAAGUGUGGGAUGUCAUGUAGAAGAUACAAAGCAGUAAGUAGGAUUGAAACCUCAGAUUUUGAGGGAGGAGCCAACUUCGUCCUCUUAAAGGACCACCUUGGAGGUAUUCCUUGGGUUAGAGCACUGGGAGGGGUCCUGCCAGCGGCUCUUGAUUCUGAUGCAUAACUUGUUUGUGUUCAGGAGGGUAAGAAAUAGAGCAGCAGUGUCAGGAGACCUGCACGGGCAAAGGAGGAGGUCAUAGAUAACUUUCCUUUUUCUGUGGCUGCUAGGGGUGUGCCUGGAUGUGGUGUGCCCUCUAGAUGAGAUGGCAUGAUUUAACUUGCUGUCAACUGUGGGACCCAGAUUCCUUUCCCCAGUGCAGCUGUCUGGCCUUAUCCCCCUGGCUGCCCCUCUCAGGUGCAGGCUCAGGUGCUGGCUGCUGUCAAACUUCAGCUGGCUGGCAAUUGCAUGGCCUGCUACUGGGUAGAGCGAGAACUCAGCAGAGCCCUUCUAUCGCUGGGGAGUACAUAGCUCUUCCUGCUAUGGUGUAAUCAGCAAAUGUACUUAAUGUACAUUUGACUCCUGAGUCCUGAUCACUUAUAGCAAUACUGAAGAGAACUGAUCCCCAUAAAAAGCCCCUAGACUCUGACUGGCACCUGUCUCCCAGCAUCUGGUGAUGUCAUUUACUCUGACAACUGCUUGGAGCCUCUUUUGUAUGGGGCCAAGUCAGUGCUUAGCCCUUUGUUUAAGAAGUACAAUUAGGAAGGGCUGUUUCCUGGCACAGGAUUUAGCUUCUGGUUCCCCUUACCUGACAAGAAUUUUCCUUACCUCCUCAAAGGCAUAAUACAUGCUUGGAACAAGAGCCCAGGCAACGAUGUCUUGCUUUUGUAAUGUGGGUGUUUUCUCAUGUGCCAAAAAACUUGUAGGAACAGUUAAACAGAAGCUACAGCAAUUAUUGCAUGUGUUAGACAGUUGAAGUUACUGGAAACAUCCCACUAUAGAUGAAUGGAAUAAGAUGUGUAAUAAAUAUCUGUAAUACAUCAAUUACUUUAUCUGUGUGUGUAUAUAUUAUCUGUAAUAAAUCACUAAUAAACACAACUACAAAUAAACAGUUUCUCCCAAAAGUUGGAUACUUUUAACUGCUACAAUCCAUGUCAUUUUACUCUUUGCAUGAUCUGCGUAGUAACAUUAUUAGCGUAUCCUACCAUUUACUAUCUAGAAUGGCUGAGCAAGAAGUAUAGUUUGCAGCUUUAAUGCCUGAAGCUGCCAAAAAAAACCCCUUUCAGGGGUUAGAAAUGUAUUUCCCAGGUCUUCUCAGAAGAGGACUUCUGCUGUGCGUGCCAGUCUUUGUAAUGUCUUUCAUUGCAAACAGUUAUAAGCUCUCCUCACUUUAACCAGAGGACCAGACUGUAUGCAUGUAUUCCUCCAUCAGUGAAGAGAAAAAAGGAUUUUCUCCCUCAUUUUUAUGAUGAAUCAGGAACAAAUGCGGUGAUCCUUAAUUCAUGUGAGCUUUACACCAACAACCAGCAUUUGACCAUGAGCAGUUUCAAAAAACCUGACCUUUGUUCUGUCCUUGUUUCUGUGGAACACCAAUCCCUCAUCAAACAGCACAGGAGGAAGACCUUCUUCCACUUUGUGUGCUUACUUGUAAUAACAUCCAUAGUCAUCUCCCUUCUGCAUCAACUCAGGUUAUCAGGCUGAGAAGAUAAAUCCCUCCCUACCCAAACCUACACACUGAAUGUCGAAGAGGAUUUUUUCGCUUGAGAAGACAUAAGAAAUAAACUGCGUAAGGACAAUAGGAGGUCUUUUAAACUCCUUUACCUGAUUUAGCCUCUCAGUGGUUCGUAGGUUCUGAAGUAUUCAAUGCAACACAUAACAAAAAAAAGAAAAAAAGCAGCCGGAGAAGGAGGAAAAGUAAGGAAAGAGCAAGGUUGCGGAUUUCAUCUUCAUAACUGCCAUGAGACAGGCACAAUGAAAAACUGUCACAAAAAGUUGCAUGCACACAUCCAAAGUCCUAGGCUCACAAAACAACUCUGCAAAGGAGGGAUCUCCUGAAAGAGAUCCUUCCUCAGUGCCAGUCAGCCCUUAAAUGGGGGUUUAAGAGGAGUAGAGCUUGGCUCCACCCCUUCCCCUCCCACAAUUGAAUUGCCUUCACCUGUGCUCCCAGGCCUGACCUGGUCUCCCCUGGGGCUCAAUCAGUGAUUGCCUGACUUGGCAGUGCACUUGCAGUCAGGCAAAUCUCACUGCUUACACUAUAAGCUACUCAGGCUGCCGAGACAUGCCGGCUUUGAGAGGUCAGACAGAACUGCUUCCUGGAGGGAAGUGGAAUCGCUUACCCUUCUCAAUAUGUUUCCCCAGAGAUGAGAUCCCACGAAAUUCACUAGCCUAAAAAAAGUGCUCAAGAAUGAGACAACCUAAUUCCAAGGAAAAAUACUGAGCUCACUGGUCAGUACUGCUGGGGAAGACGGCUGUGGAGAUGGGCAGACUGACAGGCUUUUUUCUU